rnacentral:rRNA from 1 species
GAUGAACGCUGGCGGCGUGCUUAACACAUGCAAGUCGAACGGAAAGGCCCAAGCUUGCUUGGGUACUCGAGUGGCGAACGGGUGAGUAACACGUGGGUGAUCUGCCCUGCACUUCGGGAUAAGCCUGGGAAACUGGGUCUAAUACCGGAUAGGACGAUGGUUUGGAUGCCAUUGUGGAAAGUUUUUUCGGUGUGGGAUGAGCUCGCGGCCUAUCAGCUUGUUGGUGGGGUAAUGGCCUACCAAGGCGUCGACGGGUAGCCGGCCUGAGAGGGUGUACGGCCACAUUGGGACUGAGAUACGGCCCAGACUCCUACGGGAGGCAGCAGUGGGGAAUAUUGCACAAUGGGCGCAAGCCUGAUGCAGCGACGCCGCGUGGGGGAUGACGGCCUUCGGGUUGUAAACUCCUUUCGCUAGGGACGAAGCGUUUUUGUGACGGUACCCGGAGAAGAAGCACCGGCUAACUACGUG